UAAGCUCGAAAUCGAGUUUUCAAGGCGCGUGUGAUAAAGAAGUUUAUAAUAGAAAACAAUAUCGUUAAAAUUCAGUCAUCUGUCAUCCUCCGAAAAUUUCCCUGGUAAAAAAUAAACGCGAUACUUUAAUUUUGCUCGUAGACUAAUAUAGAAGCAAAAAAAUUAUGGAAAGUUCCACUUACAACAUGGGGCUACUUGACAGUAAAAUAGCUACACGAUAAAAGAAAGAAAAUGGUGGAUAUUGUAAAUCUGAAACUAUGAUGGUAUCAGCACCAUACGAGUAAACACGUGACGUCGUAGCAUUCUACAGCCUGGCGUCACCCAUAAAGAUUACGGCAUCUGACCGGACUAACCUAAAGUGCUAACCAUCGACAUGAAAUAAAACGUUGAGUGCUGCACUCAAACGACGCGGGGAACUCGACUUCAAAAAAUCGAAGGCUCACCUACGAUCAUCAAAUUGUGACCAGGUGACGGAUUUUUCGUUACCGCUGUAAUGUUUGUCUUCUACUGAACGACAGACAUAAAAAACAAAUUUCUUUUCUUGCACGAAAUUGAACAGUGAUUAUUUUUAUCAAUUUCAAGUUUAACCAGUUGUAAACAUAACAUGGAAUACCAACCUUAGAUAUGUGAGCAAAAUGAUUCGUACAUCCAUUCAAUCAUUCGACACUUAUUCAAGAUUUUUUUAGAGGGAGUCACAAUACCUUGGGCCCUGAUUUGCGAUUCGUUGAACAAAUGAUAUUUCGAGGUGGAAAUAACAAGGUGCUCAGGAUUAUUUUCCCAUUCAAUUCUUAGAAAUCUUCCUCCUGGAUUGAUGAAGAGAUUAAAAUCCAAGCGAGCUCUGGAGUGUCAACGAGUUUCUUGAACAAUUUUUCAUCACUAAUGCAAAUGCUCCACCUUCUUCUUAUUAAUGAACGCGUGCAUCAAGCUUCAAAAGGAUACCACGGAUUUAUGCAAGAUGUGUACACUUUACAAGUGAUCAAGGAAACACGCUCAUCAAUCAGCUAACGACAGACCACGUGGUACUCACAUGGUAUGAGAGUCCAUCACAGGCAGCUACAGCGAUUAACGGCUAGCAGGUAGAAUUGCACGCAAACUGGAAAGCGCCAGAUGGUUCAACAACUUGUUACAGAAUCAGUUACUCGUACAUUCCACUUCUCCUAUCGUUCAACAAUUUGACUGCACAUAAGUCACUAUUGAAAAUACAUCUGUAAUACGUAUGACAGAUGACGUCAAAGGUAAUGGCUCACUCGCAAGGAAAGUCAAGGAUCACUUACGUGAUCUCCUCCGAUUACUUCUAAUUUUUAUACCUUAUGAAUCAUCGAAAAUCAAACGA